AUUGAACGCUGGCGGCAGGCCUAACACAUGCAAGUCGAACGAGUGGCGGACGGGUGAGUAAUGUCUGGGAAACUGCCUGAUGGAGGGGGAUAACUACUGGAAACGGUAGCUAAUACCGCCUACCAUCGGAUGUGCCCAGAUGGGAUUAGUUAGUAGGUGGGGUAAAGGCUCUCCUAGGCGACGAUCCCUAGCUGGUCUGAGAGGAUGACCGGCCACACUGGAACUGGGAGACGGUGCAGACUCCUACGGGAGGCAGCAGUGGGGAAUAUUGCACAAUGGGCGCUAGCCUGAUACAGCCAUGCGGCGUGGAUGAAGAAGGCCUUCGGGUUGUAAAGUACUUUCAGCGGGGAGGCGUUACCCGCAGAAGAAGCACCGGCUAACUCCGUGCCAGCAGCCGCGGUAAUUC
rnacentral:rRNA from 1 species